GUGCUCGCUUCAGCAGCACAUAUACUAAAACUGAAAUGAUACAGAGAAGAUUAGCAUGGCCCCUGGGCAAGGAUGACAUGCAAAUUUAUGAAGCAUUCCAUAUUUUA
rnacentral:snRNA from 1 species